AUUGAACGCUGGCGGCAGGCCUAACACAUGCAAGUCGAGCGGAUGAAGGGAGCUUGCUCCUGGAUUCAGCGGCGGACGGGUGAGUAAUGCCUAGGAAUCUGCCUGGUAGUGGGGGAUAGCGUCCGGAAACGGGCGCUAAUACCGCAUACGUCCUGAGGGAGAAAGUGGGGGAUCUUCGGACCUCACGCUAUCAGAUGAGCCUAGGUCGGAUUAGCUAGUUGGCGGGGUAAAGGCCUACCAAGGCGACGAUCCGUAACUGGUCUGAGAGGAUGAUCAGUCACACUGGAACUGAGACACGGUCCAGACUCCUACGGGAGGCAGCAGUGGGGAAUAUUGGACAAUGGGCGAAAGCCUGAUCCAGCCAUGCCGCGUGUGUGAAGAAGGUCUUCGGAUUGUAAAGCACUUUAAGUUGGGAGGAAGGGCAGUAAGUUAAUACCUUGCUGUUUUGACGUUACCAACAGAAUAAGCACCGGCUAACUUCGUG
rnacentral:rRNA from 1 species